UAACAGCAGUGUGCACUUUUGUCUCAUUUCUGCAGCACUCAAGGCAUUGCGGAAGCAUUAAUGAAUUAUACCUCUAGCAUGCCCAUGAGAAAGCUCCAUGCUAGAUUUCUUUCCUGCAAACAGCCAAUAUAGAUUGCAUCAGGAGGAGACAAGAAAAAGUGCUUCACUGACUUGUCAGCAGGUUACAGAAAACCUUCUCAUUCAAGUUUAUCCAAUUGGAAAUGAAAGAGAAAAAUGGAUGAGACAAGUUGAAGGCAAUUUUACAGCAGCCCCAUGAAUAUUUCAAAGAUGAGUGUUUCCAUAAGUUAAUUGGUGCCCAUUAUCAUGAAAUUAAAAGGCAAAAGGAGUGAAGGCAAUUGAGCUUCAUCCUUUUCAUUAUUAUCUCUUCCUGAGAUACAUCUCAGGUUUUUAACUCCUUUGACCCUUAGAUGGGCUUUUUGACACGCCGUCUACUGGCCCCAACACUUUCCUUGUCAUGAAAAGGGACCUUAAAGAACGGUCCACAGAACUGCAGAGGACAGAAGAGAGCUGGAAGGAAGGCACCUGUGAGAAAU
rnacentral:lncRNA from 1 species